GAUGAACGCUGGCGGCGUGCUUAACACAUGCAAGUCGAACGAAGCACUUUAUUUGAUUUCCUUCGGGACUGAUUAUUUUGUGACUGAGUGGCGGACGGGUGAGUAACGCGUGGGUAACCUGCCUUGUACAGGGGGAUAACAGUUGGAAACGGCUGCUAAUACCGCAUAAGCGCACAGCAUCGCAUGAUGCAGUGUGAAAAUCUCCGGUGGUAUAAGAUGGACCCGCGUUGGAUUAGCUAGUUGGUGAGGUAACGGCCCACCAAGGCGACGAUCCAUAGCCGACCUGAGAGGGUGACCGGCCACAUUGGGACUGAGACACGGCCCAAACUCCUACGGGAGGCAGCAGUGGGGAAUAUUGCACAAUGGGCGAAAGCCUGAUGCAGCGACGCCGCGUGAGCGAAGAAGUAUUUAGGUAUGUAAAGCUCUAUAAGCAGGGAAGAUAAUGACGGUACCUGACUAAGAAGCACCGGCUAACUACGUG
rnacentral:rRNA from 1 species